CGGCUUCCCCCCCCCCCCUCCUUCCCUAGCGGGCGCGGGACGCCGGGGCCGCGCGUGAGGCGCUGCGGCGCUGCGGCGGGAAGGUUCCAGAAGGGCGCGAGGGCGGGGCCGCCGCCCCCAUGGCGGCCGCCAUUAGUCCUGUCAGGCCGCCAUUACGCUUCCCCGAGGGGCUGGCGGCUCUGCGGGCUGCCCUGGCUCCAGCUGUGCUGCUGGGUCGGGGCUGGGCUGGCCCCGCUUAGCACCGUAACGAUGAAUUGUGGCACUUUUCAUCUCCACACGGCCCUAGAUGAAAUAAAAUUAUAGAUAUAUGCACACACAUAUUUGCCCCGCUUGCCCAUGAAACCUGCUGCUGGUGGCCAGGCACCGGCGUCCUUGAACCCUGGUGCCGGGUGUGCUGUCGUCUCGCCAAUAAACCUGACUCUUCCACUUUCACUCAAAACAGAGCAGGAAGGCUGCCAAAAACAGCCAGCGGAGCCAAUGGGCAGCUGAGAAUAAAGGGAUUGUUCCGGGGAGAUAAGGGAUUAGGGGAAAGAAAUAAAGAAAAAAAAAAAAGUUCUGUGCUCGCUGUGGAGGAAUUUGAGGAGGUUCCUGUGCUCGGUGCUGAGGGAUUUACCAGAGGGUGUGUUUAACGCCAAAGUGUCCACGCAAAGGUUAUGAAACAAAUAAAAACCACCAAACAGGCACAGCUGGGUGGUAUUCCUGCAAGGUUUCCAACAGAAGUUAAGAUUUAAGUAGCUGGGCUGCCUACUGGUGGCUAAGUGCAGCAUCUCAUUUAGCAGUGCUUCAAUACCUGGGGAUGGGAAGGUGGUUAAUGUGCCACAGAAAGUGCCCAGAAAAUUCUGGCAAGCUGCUGACCAAUGAGCCAGCCAUCUGUACCAGGCGAGGUAGUGAAAACUGUUUAAAAAGGCAAACUAUUGAGCACAAGGGGGAAAAAAAAGUACCAGAUCUUUUGCUGAUAAGGUUGUUCUUGUGGCUUCCGGCGAGCUUUCCAGUCAUAGUGGGUACACCGGUGACCCGGUGAGACGCUGAAGUGAAACCAACAAACACUCAUUCUUCUGAUAUGGAAACAGCGGAUAUCCACAAGGGACCUGGAUGUUAUAUCAACAGGAUACCAUGGGAAAACAAAAGAAGGUCAAAACUAACAUGUGGACAAAAUAUCUUUAUUGUUUCCAAUUAUGGAGCUCUUGUUCUUCUUUUUUUUUUUUUUUUUUUUUUUUUUGUCUUCAGACCAGCAGAUUUUUAGCUCCUCUUCACUGAUUAUAUUGGAGCUUUGUUUUUACACAAAUAUUUUGUAGCUUGAUCCUGUUGGCUAAAGCCAACCAGGUGCAACUUUAAAGCAGCCAUUUGAAUUCCGAUUGCACCACAGCCUCCAUCUGGUAAGAAUUCAGCUCCUUUUAAAUAGCCCAUCUUGAAUUUUCUUGUGCUAGGGAAUAAGGGCAAUGAAACAGGCUCAUCAUAUGGUAUUUCUCUGUUGUUGUUUGCAAAACUAAGUGUUUGUUUUGAGUAAGUAACAGUGUUACAAGGUCCAUAAAAUACAGUAGCUGUGUCAGACCUAAAGCAUAUGGCCUAAAUUGUGUAGGUUCAGAUAUUACCAUUGAGGGUUUAAGUAAAACAUCAUUUUGACGCUGCUCUGAUCUAUAGUGGGUGUUUCAGCAUCAGAGUGAUGUGGUUCCUGCUAUGAAGCAUUUGAACUGUAACAGUAGGAGAAAUGGCAGAUGCCAGUAGCACACAGCAGAGAGGACAAGCACUGUUACAGCAUUUCAGCAUGUGCUGUGGCAAUUCAAUUAAAACAGUAGCGUAACCUAAUCGUGAUGUGUCACUAACCUCGAGGACACAAAGGAAGAUAAACUGAAGUCAUUUGCUGUCAUUACAUAAGAGCUGAGCGCAAAGCCAAGAAUGGGGUUUCGGCACAGAUAAGGAUUUUGCUCUGAGACUUUCAAAGAAUUCAGCUCUUCAUGGCUUUAACUCUUCAUAGGAGUUGCAGAUCCCCCCCCCAGGUUUGUCAACAAGUUCCAGGUGGUCAGGUGCCACAAGCCUGGGCUCCUGAGCUAUGCUUGGGGGUAGGUAGCAGGGAGCUUGGGACUGCUGAUUUUCCAUCCUGCUCUGUUGCACAGUAAUAAUCCUAGUCCCUGAAAUACUUUUGGGCUGUGCCAAUGAAGCUGGGCUCGCGCCGCUCUCCCUGGUCAUCCAGCAAUACCCUGGCAGGUUUCGUACUGCGUUUCCUACUUCAUUGCACUUUGGCAUAUGACAAGUCCUUUACUUACCUCAUGGCUGUGUAAGGUGUUUAAUGCUCCAAAAAUAACCCCGGUGUCUAAAAGAGCUUGGCAAACUACCUCCAAAUCAUCCUACAUAUUGGGUAGGACUUAAGGGAAAUAUGAAAUAAUUUAUUUCCCUAAAAGGUAGGUAGGUAGCUGUACUUGGAGAUGAAUACGGUGAAAUACCACACAAGACAACAUGAUACUCUACCUGACUGCUUAUCUUCCAGAUCUUUGUUUCAGCCUGCAAGCUGAGCUGAGGGGCCUGGCACACUGAUGGAGUGGUUUCCACAGCUGUUAGAAAUUUAGGAUGAUACUCAAACAGGCUACCUCCCCCAGAAGGCAUGUUCCUCAUUAGGAACAUUCAUUUGAGAAAAGUUUUAUUUAUUUAGGGCUGUAUACCCCUACUUGCCUAAGGACCUUCUGAGGGCAAAUGCUUCACUGGGCAUGGCUUCUGGCUCCUAAUCCCAGUACAUUUUAGUCAAGACCUGAACUUGUAACUGUUUUCUUCAUGAAACACCGUUUGUUGUAGCUUUAGUCCUUGUGUGAAGGCAUGACAGGAGUGUGGGACUUCUGCUCCUUAUACCUGGAAAGACUUAACGUGGCUUCCUGAUAAACCUGUCAUUAUAAUGUAUAAAUAAAACUUAUUUGCUAAGAAGGUUUUAGCACUUCAGAGUAGCAAUGUUUUAAUUUUUCCUUGUAAUUUUUCAAACCUAUAAUACGAGAAAUGCUUCACAACUAUUCUCAUGGCAAAAAUACACGUAGAUUGUUUGCUGAUUCCUUCUGGAGGGUAGGUAUGAAUAAGACAGUUCUGGAACUGGCAGUGUCUGUGUGUUUGUGAUCAACGUGCCAACCAGUUCCAUUUGCUGGAUAUGUGGAAAUGCAUACAAGGCCACGUAGUCAAAACCCAGCGAAAUCUUCCUCUUCCAAACCACCUUAACUUUAGGACCAAGAGUCUGCAUUACUUUUCCUCUCCAUGCCAUAUUCUCACUUGCUAUUGUAACAUCAGACAGUGGCUGAAAGGCCUGAACUGUUGCAUGCAUGUGAGAAUGAUUACCA
rnacentral:lncRNA from 1 species